GAUGAACGCUAGCGGCAGGCCCAACACAUGCAAGUCGAGGGGUAGAGGAAGCUUGCUUCCUUGAGACCGGCGCACGGGUGCGUAACGCGUAUGCAAUCUACCUUAUACAGAGGGAUAGCCCAGAGAAAUUUGGAUUAAUACCUCAAAGUAUUAUGAAAUCGCAUGGUUUUAUAAUUAAAGUUCCAACGGUAUAAGAUGAGCAUGCGUCCCAUUAGUUAGUUGGUAAGGUAACGGCUUACCAAGACAAUGAUGGGUAGGGGUCCUGAGAGGGAGAUCCCCCACACUGGAACUGAGACACGGACCAGACUCCUACGGGAGGCAGCAGUGAGGAAUAUUGGUCAAUGGACGCAAGUCUGAACCAGCCAUGCCGCGUGCAGGAUGACGGUCCUAUGGAUUGUAAACUGCUUUUAUACAGGAAGAAACACUCCCUCGUGAGGGAACUUGACGGUACUGUAGGAAUAAGGAUCGGCUAACUCCGUGCCAGCCGCCGCCGUAACAC
rnacentral:rRNA from 1 species